ensembl:lncRNA
CACAGUCAGUCAGCCAGUGAAGUAUGUUUUAUCUACAGUAGGAGCAGAAAAUAUAUUGUCAGGCUGAAAGCUGAAGGUAAGUACAAUGUCAAAGGUUAAAGUUUAAGAUUGUUGCACUUCUAUUGGCUUUCACCUCACGCCCUGUCUAUUCACAUUAAGUCAUCCUCUGUAAUCAAUGAUACAGGACCCUGCCAUUGAAAUCACAUCUGUACCAUUGUUAAGGUAGAAUUUCUGCAUAAUCCAGACAUUGUCUUACAUAUACAUGAGAAAAUAGGGCACAUAUUCUAUACAAUCAGAAAUAGAAAAGAUAAAGGAUGGGGAGAAUGAGAAAAUACUCACAAAAUAUAAAUAUAAUAAACAAGAUAAUAAUCCUCCAACUCUAAGACCACACACACACACUUUCUCAAACUCACUUUGCACACACACACACACACACACGCACACGCACACACACACACACACGCACACGCACAGACACACACAGACACACACAGACACACACCACACUCUCCAGGGGACAGAAUACUCCCGAGUUGCAGCAAGGGCGAUGGAAGCUCAUCAAGACAGGAAGCGUACAUCACAUUGAUUAUCAGCAGGGUGGGAAGCUUCAGAUGUGUGGGACUAGGACAGUGGCUUGGUGUGUGUUUAGGGGGAUUGAUGCUUCACCCCAGGGGUGGAGAGGGGUCACCUCUGUGUGAAGGGGCUGGUGCUGCAGGGCAGGGGGUGAAGGGGGCAGGGGGGAAGGAGAGGGGUGAAGUCGUUGCUCAGUCACUCUGGGCAGGGUGGGUUGGAGCUGAGUCUCAGUGUGUUUCUCCAUAGAGCAUUCUCUCGCUCCCUUUUUCACUAUCACUCCCUUCCUGGUCAGGACAGUCGGUCUUCCAGUCAACCAUCUUGCAUCUACAGCUGGGGUAGAGAGAAAUACAUGUUAUUAGUAAAUGGAUACCAUUAUCCUCGGAAACACACGUUAUAACUAUAACUACUGUUCCCUGAAGGUGGGAAACAAGGUUCAACACAACUAUGGGCAGUUGCACUCUAGCGACUUCGAUUGAAG